rnacentral:lncRNA from 1 species
GGAUUUAUUUAUGUGGUUAUAAAUGAAAGAAUUAAUGUUGAGGUAUUUUAUCAGUAUUUUGUCAGAUUGGAGGUAUUAAAAGAUCAAAUCAGUGUUCUUACAGCUUUAUUGUGUGAGUUAUAAUUUUUAAUCUGACCGUUGGAUCGUUGUGAUUUUUGGAUAUGUUAUACAUAUAUAAGUUGAGUAUAUGUCCACAAAUUUUGAAC